GUGCUUGCUUUGGCAGCACAUAUACUGUAAUUGGAACAACACAGAGAAGAAUAGCAUGGCUCUGUGCAAGGAUGGCAGGCAAAUUCAUGAAGCGUUCCAUAUUUUU